AUCCACACGACUCUCGGCAACGGAUAUCUCGGCUCUCGCAUCGAUGAAGAACGUAGCGAAAUGCGAUACCUGGUGUGAAUUGCAGAAUCCCGCGAACCAUCGAGUCUUUGAACGCAAGUUGCGCCCGAGGCCUCUUGGCCGAGGGCACGCCUGCCUGGGCGUC
rnacentral:rRNA from 4 species